UCUGAUUCUGUUUCAUGUCACAUCUACCUUCACACUGCAGAGACGUUUCAGUCUGGGAGUGUAUAUUGGAUCUGGGUAUUCCAGUGCGAGGGAUUACCUUGAUCAUGGUGGAGCUGGCUUUUUACCCCGCGGUGGCACUGAUGUAUUUCUUUGGAGUGAUGAAGGCUUCGCAGGACGAUCGAGUGGAGCUGCACGACGGUGCGUCGAUGAACGUGUUCUGUCUGUUCGUGUUGGCACAGCCGCUGUGUCUGGUGAUUGGAGGAUACACCGGCAUGGCUACUUACCUCAUCACCGCUUUGGUUUCCUACAAUUUCCUGCCAUGGAGAGAGACAAACCAACCGGAAAAGAAAAAGGCUUCAAAGAAGACGAAAUGAGAGCAGGGGACUUGCUGUAUCGUGAUGAGACAAUGGGCCCAAAAGGGGGAGGGACUGAAUAAAUAAUGUGUUUUUGUGAUUACACUUGUGUCAUCCACAGUUGAAAUAAUUCAUGUCCCAUGGUCACACUUUCUUCUGUGCUGACAUACACUGUUUUCUCCCAAACAACAUAUUGUGCAUAAUGGUGGAGCAGCUACAUUUAGUCAUCUUCUGUCCAAAGGACAUUGCUCAUUACAGAGUACACUUAAGAUGCAGAUGGAACUUUGCAAACAGAUGCAAAUUAUAAGACUUAAAGUGUGCUGCUGCACUCUUUUUACUGAAAAGAUUUCUCCUGGCAAUCCUUUAAAAAAGCCUUACGUGUUCAGUGUGUCAUCUAAUUGUACUGCAAUAAGCAUAAAACAUUCAGCAUCCGGACUCUGGCUUGUACAGCCUAAACUUCAGCUCUCAGAUUUGGAUUAUUUAUUUUUUAUUUCUCUGGGCAUCAGGCGUUCUCACUUUGGGACAUCUACCUCUGGGAAGGCUGGCAGCCGUCCUGCAUGUUUUUGAAUAAACUCUCUCAGUGUACAAUGAUGGGCUCCAGAUUUAUUUGGAAAUAACCUCAAAGCAAUUCCCAGUUUGAUAAGGCGCCAAUGAUUGUUUCCCCAAAACCAUUACUGAUGACUCUCCUACUUCACAUUGUGUUAGCAAAUCGCCUCCAGACCAGCAAACUUCGAAAACUUCUACUUUUAUGUACUUGCUGAUUAUCUUUAAUCAGUUGCAUUUGAUUAAUUAUUUUCAUUUUUACGCAAGGAUACUUGUGUUGUUCUCCAUCAGACCCUGCUUCACCCGAUAACAAUAAUAUUUAAGACAUGAAAAUGCUCAGAUAUGUGGCUGCCCCUACACGUGAUGGAGCUUCAUGUGUGCAGAAUACAUGCAGCUCCUGUGCACAGACAGCAGCAGUAAAACAGGUGAAGGGUUGAUAUUUGUUUAUCAAAAAUGUAUAGUCCUUUUAUAAAGAGGAACUUGAGUUAUUAUGCCAUCACAAGCAUACUUUAUCAGUGGUACAUGUUCAUGAAAUCAAAAUUGGAUCCAGAAAUCAUCCACAGUUCCCCCAUAGGGCCGAAACACCUGGAAGUUGUUUGUGUGUCACGCAUUCACGCAGCUGUAAAUACUGUAGAAUGGUUUAAUAAUAUCAAAUCUGAAGAAAUCCUAAUGCUAUGUCAUUAGUACUUUAGGGUUUUUAAACUGAAGUUAGUAGUUUGUUUUUGGAUGCAACAGACACAAUGAAGAUUAGACAGAACCAUGGAGAGCAACAUACAAAUAUCCAAAUAAAUAUAGUGCAAAGCAGCAAACAUUGUCAACAUCUUUCAGUGGAUCACUCAAGUCAGACAAUCAGGAAGCUCAUUCUGACAUACAUUGAUCAGCCAUGACUCUGGAAAAUAUCAGCUUGUGUUCAGCAACGAUGGGACAGUAUAGCCCUCCCCCUCCACAAGUGUCCAUUAUGACCCCGUCUCAGUUUCAGACUGAGUUAUUUACUUUUCUUUAGCCUCCCAAUAUGUCUUCUUUAUAAAAAUGUGAGUGGAGUCUCUCUCAAAUAUCAGACACAAGCCUUGCCCUUGUAGUUCUUUAAAUAAGGUUCAAAUGCUGAUGGAUUGCUCAGGUUUGGUUUGAAGCCAAAAAUCCCUUGAGGACUAAUAACUCUGACCACCUCUAUUUUCACUACAUUUUGUAUAAAGAAAACUUCAAUAUCUAUUUGAAACUAAAGCAAACUGGAGCCUUCGCACUAAGGAGCAUUGCACCAUGUGAAGUUUUAUAAAUGAUGCGAUCGUUCAUCAGUAUUUGGGGGGAAAUUAUCAAUAGUUACUUGAGCGCUAAUAAUCUUGAUCUUCAUUGUUUUUCCCUCAGUAAGAAGAUACUCCUAACCUUUUUCUAUCUCAAAAUUGGAACUGCAUUCUGAUCUAAUUUGAUGUCAUCCGAUUGUGGACUGUAUUCAUUUUGGUGGGAAAUAAUUAAAGGAGUUAAUUGCCUUCAA